rnacentral:rRNA from 5 species
GUUAUAUGGUCAAGCGAAUAAGCGCACACGGUGGAUGCCUUGGCGGUCAGAGGCGAUGAAGGACGUGGCAGCCUGCGAAAAGUAUCGGGGAGCUGGCAACAAGCUUUGAUCCGGUAAUGUCCGAAUGGGGAAACCCACCCGCUUGCGGGUAUCCUGCAGUGAAUACAUAGCUGCUGGAAGCGAACCUGGUGAACUGAAAUAUCUAAGUAACCAGAGGAAAAGAAAUCAACCGAGAUUCCGUAAGUAGCGACGAGCGAACGCGGACUAGCCCUUAAGCUGAUUUGGUUCUAGGAAAACGCUCUGGAAAGAGCGGCCAUAGAAGGUGAUAGCCCUGUAUCUGAAAGGGCCAUUUCAGUGAAGACGAGUAGGGCGGGGCACGUGAAACCCUGUCUGAACAUGGGGGGACCAUCCUCCAAGGCUAAAUACUACUGACCGACCGAUAGUGAACCAGUACCGUGAGGGAAAGGCGAAAAGAACCCCGGAGAGGGGAGUGAAAUAGAACCUGAAACCGUGUGCGUACAAGCAGUAGGAGCUCCGCAAGGAGUGACUGCGUACCUUUUGUAUAAUGGGUCAGCGACUUACUGUUCGUGGCAAGCUUAACCGUAUAGGGGAGGCGAAGGGAAACCGAGUCUGAUAAGGGCGCAUAGUCGCGGGCAGUAGACCCGAAACCGGGUGAUCUAGUCAUGCCCAGGGUGAAGGUGCGGUAACACGCACUGGAGGCCCGAACCCACUCCCGUUGCAAAGGUAGGGGAUGAGGUGUGAUUAGGAGUGAAAAGCUAAUCGAACCCGGAGAUAGCUGGUUCUCCUCGAAAGCUAUUUAGGUAGCGCCUCAUAUGUAUCCUCUCGGGGGUAGAGCACUGUUAUGGCUAGGGGGUCAUCGCGACUUACCAAACCAUUGCAAACUCCGAAUACCGAGACGGACUGUAUGGGAGACACACGGCGGGUGCUAACGUCCGUCGUGAAAAGGGAAACAACCCAGACCCACAGCUAAGGUCCCAAAUUUUGUGCUAAGUGGAAAACCAUGUGGAAAGGCACAGACAGCCAGGAGGUUGGCUUAGAAGCAGCCACCCUUUAAAGAAAGCGUAAUAGCUCACUGGUCGAGUCGGUCUGCGGGGAAGAUUUAACGGGGCUAAGCACAGAACCGAAGCUUGGGGUGCAUACUUUGUAUGCGCGGUAGAGGAGCGUUCCGUAAGCCGUUGAAGGUGGAUUGAGAAGUCUGCUGGAGGUAUCGGAAGUGCGAAUGCUGACAUGAGUAACGAUAAUGCGGGUGAAAAACCCGCACGCCGAAAGCCCAAGGUUUCCUUGCGCAACGUUAAUCGGCGCAGGGUGAGUCGGCCCCUAAGGCGAGGACGAAAGUCGUAGUCGAUGGGAAGCAGGUUAAUAUUCCUGCACCUCGCGUAAGUGCGAUGGAGGGACGGAGAAGGUUAGGUGUACCAGGCGUUGGUUGUCCUGGGGAAAGGCGGUAGGUUUGGAUCUUUGGCAAAUCCGGGAUCCUUUAAGACCGAGCACCGAGACGAGCCUUUAUGGCGAAGUCACUGAUACCACGCUUCCAGGAAAAGCUCCUAAGCUUCAGCUUACGCAGACCGUACCGUAAACCGACACAGGUGGGUAGGAUGAGAAUUCUCAGGCGCUUGAGAGAACUCGGGUGAAGGAACUAGGCAACAUGGCACCGUAACUUCGGGAGAAGGUGCACCCUUUUUGGUGGCUCGUGCGAGCUAUAGCUGAAGAGGGUCGCAGUAACCAGGCCGCUGCGACUGUUUAUCAAAAACACAGCACUCUGCAAACACGAAAGUGGACGUAUAGGGUGUGACGCCUGCCCGGUGCUGGAAGGUUAAUUGAUGGGGUCAGCCGCAAGGCGAAGCUCUUGAUCGAAGCCCCAGUAAACGGCGGCCGUAACUAUAACGGUCCUAAGGUAGCGAAAUUCCUUGUCGGGUAAGUUCCGACCUGCACGAAUGGCGUAACGACAGCGGCGCUGUCUCCACCCGAGACUCAGUGAAAUUGAAAUCGCUGUGAAGAUGCAGCGUUCCCGUGGCAAGACGGAAAGACCCCGUGAACCUUUACUAUAGCUUUACACUGAACGUUGAGUUCGUCUGUGUAGGAUAGGUGGGAGGCUAUGAAACCAUGGCGCUAGCUGUGGCGGAGCCAUCCUUGAAAUACCACCCUGUCGUGCUUGACGUUCUAACCUGGGCCCAUUAUCUGGGUCGGGGACCGUGUAUGGUGGGUAGUUUGACUGGGGCGGUCUCCUCCUAAAGAGUAACGGAGGAGCUCGAAGGUACGCUCAGCGCGGUCGGACAUCGCGCACUGUGUGCAAAGGCAUAAGCGUGCUUGACUGCAAGAUCGACGGAUCAAGCAGGUAGGAAACUAGGACUUAGUGAUCCGGUGGUUCUGUAUGGAAGGGCCAUCGCUCAACGGAUAAAAGGUACUCCGGGGAUAACAGGCUGAUACCGCCCAAGAGUUCAUAUCGACGGCGGUGUUUGGCACCUCGAUGUCGGCUCAUCACAUCCUGGGGCUGUAGUCGGUCCCAAGGGUAUGGCUGUUCGCCAUUUAAAGUGGUACGCGAGCUGGGUUCAGAACGUCGUGAGACAGUUCGGUCCCUAUCUGCCAUGGGCGUUGGAGAUUUGAGAGGGGCUGCUCCUAGUACGAGAGGACCGGAGUGGACGAACCUCUGGUGUUCCGGUUGUCACGCCAGUGGCAUUGCCGGGUAGCUAUGUUCGGAAGCGAUAACCGCUGAAAGCAUCUAAGCGGGAAGCGCGCCUCAAGAUGAGAUCUCCCGGGGCACAAGCCCCCUGAAGGAACCAUGUAGACUACGUGGUUGAUAGGUCAGGUGUGUAAGUACAGCAAUGUAUUGAGCUAACUGAUACUAAUGAUCCGUGCGGCUUGACCAUAUAACCU